GCGACAACAAAACGUCUAGCGCUUAAUUGUGCUAGUCGUGCGCUUAAGCACGCCUAGGCGUGCACUUAGGCUAGAUAAGCGCUAUGCGUGGCGAAACGCACAAUUAACACCUAUCGCUUUCUUUAUCCUUCUAUCUACUUCUGAGUCAGUCACACACAACCUAGGACAUUAUAAAAACCCUUGUAUAUUGUCUUACCCUAGUGCCCUCUGCAGUUGUGAAGUACUCCCCACUUUUGCCAAGAGGUCCGGGGUCCGACGCCGUCUCUCUGCAUUGCACUGUGUAGCGGAGCUUGCCUCGUGUGAUCCUUCCCGAGACCCCAUCUGGCGUGGGACCCUCAGGCACUGGGUCUGUCCUUUUUCUUAGUACUUCCUUGCACGCUUCCAAUUCAGCUUCAAGUGCAUUAUCACAUAUGAAGAGCUGCCUACAGGCCGUGUAGAUAAUCUCACCGGCAGAGUCACGAAGGACCAUGCCACAGCCAGCGGAGCCGUCAGUGGCGAAAUAGCUGCCGUCCGUGUUGAGUUUGGCCCAUCCAUCCGGCAGCCGCACCCAGCGCAAGUCCUCUCCUGUAUUAGCUCCCAGGCUGCGUGUGAGGUUUCGAACCGAGUCGUUCGCUGUCCACCCGGAGAACCAUUUUGCCUUUGGUCGGAUCAUCUUGAGGGAACUGCUUGAGACACAACAGCAAGUUUAUGUAGCUGUUGAGAAACCGUCGGGAUGCUUCAGUCGGAGGCGGUGCUUAUCAUGUGUGAUCUCAUUCCGGGCAUGUCAGGUGUGCUAAAGGACCAUCAACAGUACCAUGCGGCUGGCUUCUGACAACUGAUCCUACACGCCGAAUAGUCAUUCCGGCCACUUUUUGCGGACAUCCUCGACCACAGUCCUUAGCCCGCGGGCAUCUGCACAUAGCAUGGUAACCAUUCCCGCGUUCCACAUGGGCAGAUCAUUAGAUUCCAAAUUGCGAGAGAAUUUAUUGGCCCAAGUGGCAAGAGAAUUUGAGACCAGCCACCAGGCAAGUACGCAUACCUUAGGGGGAGUAGGGCACCCCCAUAUGGUCUUCCAGGUAACGCGAUGACCAUCCGUUGCCCUACUCGAAGCACUUGCCAACGGACGCUCAUGCUCGUCCAUGGCAAAAGUGUUAUGCUGAACGAAUUGAGAAGACACCGGAUUUCUUCGGGGCCAAGGCGAGGACGUCACCGGGGACACGUGGAGAGGUAUUGAUGCGGAUGAUAGCGUCGACGUCGACCGAGAGGAAGUGGAAGAACAUCCACCCGCCAGGCGCCAUUGGCAUCCAGCAGGUCUGCGUCGUGUCUUAGCCGCCGCGUCCUAGCCAGCAUGUCCCUUGGGGCCUGAGGAGCUCGCCCGACGGCUCGCGUGGCAGCCACCCGAUCCCUCUAGAUGUGGAUUUGCGCUCUGCUGCCCACCCGCCAAAUCAGCCCCAUUUUCAGCAGCUCCAAUCCAUACUGGAUCGCUUGCCAUGUGACCGAUGCAUUACUGAAAAGACAGUAUCCGCCAGCUGCCCCUUUGGAUAAUAUCGAGCUUUUAAAACCUGCGCACAGACUCUCGGGUUUGGUUAGAAGUCUCCAAGCUUGCGAGCUAGCAGUGCUUGGUUGAACACUGUGAAGUCACGGAAUCCGAAACCAUCAUUGAGUUUAUGCUUCUAGAUUUUAGGCCAAGCCUGCUAGUGUGUUUUUUUGCUUCCCCUCUGACGAUCCCCACUAGAAGUUACGUACCAUCUUGCUAAGAGCAUCUCUAAUAGAAGAUGCAAAUUUGGAGAUGUAAAACAGGAGAUGUUAAAAUUUACAUCUCCAAAAAGUGCUUUUUGCAUUUCCAUAAAAGGGCCAACUCCAACAGAUGAUGCAAAACGGAGAUCUAAAAGUGCAACUCCAAUAGGUGAUGCAAACUGGAGAUGUAAGAGUUAGAAACUUCAAAUACUACUUCAUUUCAAACAUAAUUCAAACAUAGUUUGUUCAACUAGUACUUCAUUUCAAACAUAAUUAAACAUAGUUCUAAUUAAAACACAAUUAAACAUAAUUCUAAUUUGAAGGGCUACUAGUUCAAACCACUACAUCCAUCAAACUACUACUCCAACGACUACUACUAGUUCACACAACUACUACUCGAAGAUGAAACUACUCCUUGACUCCUCGUCGGAGCUCUUGAACUGUUCCCAGAACUCGUCCUUGUCCGGUGGAUGUAAACUUCCAGCAGCUUUUCCUCCAGGUCCUUGUAGUGGGUGUCUUCGCCGUCUUGUCCGUUGGAUGUAGUUGCCCUGUGGCUUCCCUCUAAGUACCUAAUCACACAUAGGGUCUCCGUUUGAGGUAGUAGCCAUGUCUCACAUGUAGAAAGUGGUAGUUCGGAGAGGAGCGAGUUCACCUUGGAUUCGAUAGCCCUUGCUCGAGCUCUUGUCAUUGGUCCACGUGGUGUCGUGGGAGACGAAGGUAGGUCCAUGGGGAUGACCGUAGGAUGCUCCGCAUCAAUACUGCAUUUGGCUGGGUCAGUAAGUUGAGUAGUAGCGCCUUCAUAAGCCAUGAUGAUAGAAUGGACCUUCUCCGCUUGUUGUGCUUCUGCCUUAAAGAAGAGCAAUGUAUCAUUGGCGAACAAGAAGUGGGAGAUACCAAGAGCACGCCGGUAUACCUUCAGGGAAGUAAAAUUUCCUUUAACUCACCAUCCUGUAACAAGGCAGAAAGUCCAUGAGCAAUAAACAGGAAUGAGAACGGAGAGAGAGGGUCACCUUGCUGUAGCCCACGCGACGGCGCGAACGAAUCCAAGAGGGUGCCAUUAAAUUUGACAGUGUAUCUAACCGAGGUGACACAAGUAGGAGUAUAAUCCAGUUCAUCCAUCGGUCAACGAAACCCAACUUUUGCAUCGUCCACUUCAAGAAAACCUAAUUAACCUGAUCAUUUGCCUUUGAGUGGCCCACAGCAUAUAGGCGCAGAAACUCUGCUGGAUCCUUCUCCUGCUGGAUAUGAUGUAUGCAGUCAAACGCAACCAACACAUUAUCUGUUAUCGUUCUUCCUGGCACAAGAACACUUUGUACUGGCGAUAUGAUCUCAUCAAGAAUUGGCCUCAACCUGUUAACUAAGCACUUCGACACCACCUUAUAAAUGACUGAAAUCAGUGAGUUUUACCGGAUUAUCAACUUUUGGGAUGAGGACAAUGGCAUUGUUAUUCACCCUUUCAGGCACAACUCCUGACCGGAAAAAUUGCUUAACACCAGCAAUUGCUUGGUCCUUCAUUAUUGCCCAGUUUCUCUGAAACAUCCCGCCGGAAAUCCAUCUGGUCCAGGGGCUUUGAGCGGGCCUAUCUGGAAAAGUGCGUCAGCAAUCUCCUUAUCAGAAAGCUCUGCACACAGACCUUCAUUCAUAUUGUCAGUAACACGCAUUGAUAAGGUCAAUUACACACAGCGCUGGAUCAGCAGUAAACAAAUUUAUGAAGUAAUCUGUCUCCAUAUUAGCCAUGAUGGCGCUGUCCUGCUGCACCACGCCACUAUCAUCAAGGGAUUUUAUCCUGUUUCCGCGCACGCGACACCACCUACUUGAUCUGCACACAGUGCCGGAUCUGUAGCUUCCCGAAUAGUCCUCUGAUCUGCGUUCAUAGCCAUUAGUUCCUCAAGACGAGUAUGGGAUUUAUGAAUUUCUUUUUCCUUCACCCAUGCAAUGCGUGCAUGAGCUCGCCUAGCGCCGCCGCCACGUCACCAAGGUUGCCCAUGGCACCGGCCGCUGACCAGGCUUGCAUGAUCACCUCGGGCAGCGCUGGGUCACGCUUCCAAGCAACUUCAUAGUGGCGGCACCUCUUACCCACAUUCUCCUGUUGUAACUUGGCCAAGCACCUUAGGAGGAUCGGUGCAUGGUCUGACAAAGGAGCAACCAGGUGCUUAACACCUGCCUCCAAGACAAGUCAUGCCAUUGGUUGUUUGCCACUGCCUGGUCGAGCCGAACUUUGACGUUUGCUCGGCUGGAUCGCUGGUUAUCAUAAGUGUAUGGCAGACCUGAAAAACCAAGACCACCGAGACCACAUAACUCCAAAACAUCACGAAAGUUAAUCAUCUGACCUGCCGAGCGAGGAGUCUCGGAGAAAUGUUUGAAGCCCCACAUGGCCUCGUUGAAAUCUGCAAUCACUGCUCACGGCAUGUCCGCUUAGUGGUGAAGAUGACUGAGAAGUGACCACAUGCGAUGUCGGUCCUCCGUCUGGGGCUCGCCGUAGAUGCGGGUGAGCCUCCAAGGAGUAAGGAUCAAUAUAUCGUACAUCCAUAGCCUUCACAUUGUCUUGGCAUAAAUUCAUGCCAGAAAAGAGCUAAAGCUCCACUAAGACCAUUUAGUCCUUCGAAACCACUUAAACCUAGAUGAGAUUGAUAUCUUCUCAUCCUAUCUUUCGACUACCUAGUUUCACAAAGAAAAAAAUACAUGGGGAUUGAGCUUGCACUAAGCUCACAAGAUCACGGACUGUCCGGGAGUCUGUUCUGGAACUUCUCUGCCAGAUAUUGUGCAACUGCAGGGUUGUCAUUCUCACACACUUCCUGGGUGCUUUUGUUCUGCUGAUGAGCCCCGCCAUUGAUCCUGUCCUUCCUGCUGCUAUUCCUGCUAGAACUGGAGUCGGCAUCAGACAAGUUGAGGCCAUGAAACACCAGGAGGUUUGAUUUGGCUCAGACGGUACUUGUCUGCUGCAUGAAGCGACGUGGCGGGGAGCACCUCAGCCUGCAAUCAUGGAUCCUGCUCGGCUCCCCACCUCUAGGUUUACGUCCACAUGUUUUCAGCCCAGCAAUAAUGAAAAAAUAGUAGAAAUAUAUUAGUAUUAUAGAGGUUUCCUUCAUGAUCCUCUUUUCCUUGUUACCACUUACCAGUUGUGCUAUGCAUAUAAUCCUGGGUUUGUGCUAUACUUAAUUCAGCAUUUGUUCAAGCUUAGUUUUCUGCCACUUGCACGCUAGGGAUGCUUGUUGCCAAAUAUAAUUGUUAAUAUAUAUGAUACGUCUUUUCAGGCUUGUCAUGACGGCUGUGCUACUAUUUAUUGAUGAGGAUGUGAAUCUGGUAGAAACUAGGACUAUUUAGAGCUUGUCAUCAACAUCUCACAUGUGGCCAGGGAAUCCCAAUGAUGCAGUUGGUUAACUUGUCGCACACAUGUUUCAACAUCUGGCUCCUAAUGAACACUUAACACGAGGAACCGGUGAGAGUACAUUCCAGUCUUCCAGAAAUUCUGAAACAAGACGGUUCAUUUGUUCUGUAGGAGCUUAUCUGGUGCCUGGGUGUUGAUUGUAACCAUCAGGCAGAACUGACCUUGUGGUGUACAUUGUAAUUUCAUGCGUUUUGGUAUUGCAACGCCAUCUGUCGAGAUUUGGUUAACGCUGGACAUCUUGGUGUGGUAUGCGCGAACGCUGACAUCUUGCACUUAUAUCGCGGUGUUGUAUUUUGAUUCA